rnacentral:rRNA from 1 species
AGCGAACGCUGGCGGCAGGCCUAACACAUGCAAGUCGAACGAACUCUUCGGAGUUAGUGGCGGACGGGUGAGUAACACGUGGGAACGUGCCUUUAGGUUCGGAAUAACUCAGGGAAACUUGUGCUAAUACCGAAUGUGCCCUUCGGGGGAAAAAUUUAUCGCCUUUAGAGCGGCCCGGGUCUGAUUAGCUAGUUGGUGAGGUAAAGGCUCACCAAGGCGACGAUCAGUAGCUGGUCCGAGAGGAUGAUCAGCCACAUCGGGACUGAGACACGGCCCAAACUCCUACGGGAGGCAGCAGUGGGGAAUCUUGCGCAAUGGGCGAAAGCCUGACGCAGCCAUGCCGCGUGAAUGAUGAAGGUCUUAGGAUUGUAAAAUUCUUUCACCGGGGACGAUAAUGACGGUACCCGGAGAAGAAGCCCCGGCUAACUUCGUGCCAGCCGCCGCCGUAA